rnacentral:rRNA from 1 species
CAGUCGCCACGGUAAUACGAAGGGUGCAAGCGUUACUCGGAAUUACUGGGCGUAAAGCGUGCGCAGGCGGUUAUAUAAGACAGAUGUGAAAUCCCCGGGCUCAACCUGGGAACUGCAUUUGUGACUGUAUAGCUAGAGUACGGCAGAGGGGGAUGGAAUUCCGCGUGUAGCAGUGAAAUGCGUAGAUAUGCGGAGGAACACCGAUGGCGAAGGCAAUCCCCUGGGCCUGUACUGACGCUCAUGCACGAAAGAGUGGGGAGCAAACAGGAUUAGAUACCCGAGUAGUCCCUGUCUCUUAUAC